GAAGAUCACAUAAGCUUCUCAACUCCCAGA
rnacentral:piRNA from 1 species